AGGAAACUUUUAGAGACGACUCCCUCACUUACUGACUGAGAUCCUUCCAAGGCCUUGGGGAUGAACUCCCAAUACUUUGGUCGUCAGUUUGUUGCAUCCUGUUAUGUGAGAAGUAAAAUCUGAGCAAGUUAGUUUAGGGUACAGCGGAUGUUUACUCAAAGCAUCUGAACAACAUUUUAAGCACUUUGUAAACCGGCCGUCGGUAGUUGCUCAUUUUUUUUAAGUGACUGGCAACCUCUACAGGUAUGAGUAGGAUUAACAUUUGCUACGGUGUGAAGCAUGGCAAUUCGAGAUGUAGUAUAACCAAAUAAUUCAAAGAUCUAGAAGGUAGCCACGCCUAGAUUGACUUUAUAAUUCACGCACGUGCUUUAUGCUUGUGUCUACAGGAGAGGAAUGAACGAACUUAAGAAAUCUAUUUCCAGCAACGAUUAUUAUGCAUUUAAAAAAUUUACCAUAAUAUCAGUCAAAUAGCUAACUAACUCUUAUUAAAUCAUGAUCCCAUUUACUUUAUUAGAGAAAGACUGCCGUUAUUUCUUCGGUUAUUGACUAAGCUUAAUUAAAAACGAAAAUUAAUUCUUGUAUUGAUUUCCUUGAUUUUUCC